rnacentral:lncRNA from 1 species
GAUGCAAACAGGGCCAUUUAUACAUCUUCAAUCCUAUAUUAAUUUCUUUCGCUUAUGCAAACGGGGAUUAUGUUGUCGGAGAGUUUCUGACGCAUACAUAAAACAGAUACGUACAGAGACAUCCCUACACACAUCCGGAGUCAGUUGUCAAAGAGAAGUUUUCUUAGAAAUUGUUUAGGAGCGUUUAUCCUCAGGAUGCCAUAUUGAAUGUAUGGUGUGUUUCAGUUUCGUUUAUGGACAGUGAAUACAUAACAACAAAUAGCAAUUUGCUCUCAUGCCUGUCACUACAUAUUCUCUUCUCUACAAGAACGGAACAAAUGUUUUCUAGACUGAUCAUCACAAGAAAUCCAUUUUAUCUGCCAAGAAAUUUUCACAGUUUUCACAAAUUGUUGAAUAACACUUAAUCUAGUUGCUGCACAUGAAUUUUGGAGCAAGACAGAAAUCGAAGCUUGCCGGUAAACACAGCCUUUUGAAUAUAGAGAAGACAACGUAAUUGUAAAGAGGAAAUAAAUUGUUUCUCUCAUAUAUAUCUCCAGUAAUUUGAAGCGAUAAAUAUUUGAAAUAAAAGAUGUAUAACGUUA